UGCUCUAAAAACCUCCAUCUGCUGACCCCCAGUAUGGCCUGAAUUAUCAUCAAUCUAGUAUUGUUAUGUUGUGUGCAAUGAAAAGGAGGACACAAGCAACACUGUCCUGAGGAGAGAGUCACACCACAGCAUUUGAAUACUGUCAAUGGUCUGUGUUUCAUUACCAAGUUAUCCAAAUUGACUUUGAGAAAGAACAAGAAAAAUGGCAGCCUUACUUUUGUAAAGAGCAUACAGUUGCCACAGGAUCAGCACACCUGUGUGCUCUGUCCUAAUGAGUUCACAGCUGAGGCAGAUCAGCAAUCAGAGGGAUUGGGGAUAUAGGUUGCCAGAAUGUCAGCUAUUUUGUCAAGUAGUAGUAGUGAGCUGUUAUCUCUUGUCUUUUGCCUGCCUUAUUGUAGUUCAGGUUAAGCCUCUCGGUUUUUAUUUUUAGUAAUCUUUGAGAGGGAUUUUAUUUUGUACAUUUUUUUUGUUUUUUGUAAGUAAACUUUUUUCAGAACUCA